rnacentral:rRNA from 1 species
AACGAACGCUGGCGGCAGGCCUAACACAUGCAAGUCGAGCGCUCACUUCGGUGGGAGCGGCGGGCGGGUUAGUAACGCGUGGGAAUAUGCCCGGUACUAAGGAAUAGCCUUUGGAAACGAAGAGUAAUACCUUAUACGCCCUUCGGGGGAAAGAUUUAUCGGUAUCGGAUUAGCCCGCGUAAGAUUAGAUAGUUGGUGGGGUAAUGGCCUACCAAGUCUACGAUCUUUAGCUGGUUUUAGAGGAUGAUCAGCAACACUGGGACUGAGACACGGCCCAGACUCCUACGGGAGGCAGCAGUGGGGAAUCUUAGACAAUGGGCGCAAGCCUGAUCUAGCCAUGCCGCGUGAGUGAAGAAGGCCUUAGGGUCGUAAAACUCUUUCGCCAGAGAUGAUAAUGACAGUAUCUGGUAAAGAAACCCCGGCUAACUCCGUGCCAGCAGCCGCGGUAAUACGGAGGGGGUUAGCGUUGUUCGGAAUUACUGGGCGUAAAGCGCACGUAGGCGGACUGGAAAGUUGGGGGUGAAAUCCCGGGGCUCAACCUCGGAACUGCCUCCAAAACUAUCAGUCUAGAGUUCGAGAGAGGUGAGUGGAAUUCCAAGUGUAGAGGUGAAAUUCGUAGAUAUUUGGAGGAACACCAGUGGCGAAGGCGGCUCACUGGCUCGAUACUGACGCUGAGGUGCGAAAGUGUGGGGAGCAAACAGGAUUAGAUACCCUGGUAGUCCACACCGUAAACGAUGAAUGCCAGUCGUCGGCAAGUAUACUUGUCGGUGACACACCUAACGGAUUAAGCAUUCCGCCUGGGGAGUACGGUCGCAAGAUUA